UGGGGAAUAUUGGACAAUGGGCGAAAGCCUGAUCCAGCCAUGCCGCGUGUGUGAAGAAGGUCUUCGGAUUGUAAAGCACUUUAAGUUGGGAGGAGGGCAGUAAGUUAAUACCUUGCUGCUUUGACGUUACCGACAGAAUAAGCACCGGCUAACUCUGUGCCAGCAGCCGCGGUAAUACAGAGGGUGCAAGCGUUAAUCGGAAUUACUGGGCGUAAAGCGCGCGUAGGUGGUUUGUUAAGUUGGAUGUGAAAGCCCCGGGCUCAACCUGGGAACUGCAUCCAAAACUGGCAAGCUAGAGUACGGUAGAGGGUGGUGGAAUUUCCUGUGUAGCGGUGAAAUGCGUAGAUAUAGGAAGGAACACCAGUGGCGAAGGCGACCACCUGGACUGAUACUGACACUGAGGUGCGAAAGCGUGGGGAGCAAACA
rnacentral:rRNA from 1 species